rnacentral:rRNA from 1 species
UACGUAGGGGGCUAGCGUUAUCCGGAAUUACUGGGCGUAAAGGGUGCGUAGGUGGUUUCUUAAGUCAGAGGUGAAAGGCUACGGCUCAACCGUAGUAAGCCUUUGAAACUGGGAAACUUGAGUGCGGGAGAGGAGAGUGGAAUUCCUAGUGUAGCGGUGAAAUGCGUAGAUAUUAGGAGGAACACCAGUUGCGAAGGCGGCUCUCUGGACUGUAACUGACACUGAGGCACGAAAGCGUGGGGAGCAAACAGGAUUAGAUACCCCGGUAGUCCCUGAGCGGGCU